GUAAAAGUGAGGAGAAAAUAGUUGAUAAGAAAUUGUUAAAUGGAUAUAAUACAGGCUGAUUAUCAACUCGUGGACCUGUGGUGGUUUCAGUUGUGUGACUGCACCGAGUGGAUGACCUAAGUCAGUGUUUAUAUUAGUGUCUGUUGCUGCAUAUGAGAGAUCUCCGGUGGGGGAGGGGAUUCAGGCCUACUUCGACGGAGAUUGAGCGUAAGUUAAUUUAAAAUACAUUUUGAAGACUGUUAUAAUGUAGAAUAAUACAGUGUAAUACAUGUAUAGAAGGAACAUGCAGUAAUUGUUGUAUAUUAUACUAUUAAGAGGGGAGAACAAGCUUGUGAGAUCGCACAGGGGAACAGAGAGCGCGCUGAUUGAAGCAGCAGGUAAAAGUGAGGAGAAAAUAGUUGAUAAGAAAUUGUUAAAUGGAUAUAAUACAGGCUGAUUAUCAACUCGUGGACCUGUGGUGGUUUCAGUUGUGUGACUGCACCGAGUGGAUGACCUAAGUCAGUGUUUAUAUUAGUGUCUGUUGCUGCAUAUGAGAGAUCUCCGGUGGGGGAGGGGAUUCAGGCCUACUUCGACGGAGAUUGAGCGCACAUAUAAGCCACUGCCGUUGUUUUGCACACCUUUAUUGGUUCUUUAACAUUGGUUGCACUAUUUCAAGUCAAAUUGGGGCUUGUGAUCUGGUGUUUUGAUUAGAGGUUAUUAUUGUAAAGGACUUAUUUUUAUUCUUUACAUUUCUUUUUAUACCUUAUUUCACUUUCUGUGCCCAUUGAAGUGAAUUGGGUAACGUCAUUUAUUUUGUUUUAUUAUUGUUUUAUUUGACUUUUCUUGUUUAACUGGAUUGAAGUCCUGAGAAAAUACUAUUUUUCCCCUGAACCAAACAUUAAUGCUGGGUCUCCAUUUGAGGCUCAGUCAAGAAUAAAAGAAUCCUUUUCAGUAGAUGUCUUGGCAUUGUCUUUUCCUUAGUAUAUUAGAAGGACGUCAAGCCGGCC
ensembl:lncRNA